rnacentral:rRNA from 1 species
UACGGAGGGUGCGAGCGUUGUCCGGAAUCAUUGGGCGUAAAGGGCGCGUAGGUGGCCCGGUCAGUCAGUGGUGAAAGCGCGGGGCUCAACUCCGCGUCGGCCAUUGAUACUGCUGGGCUUGAGCACUGUAGAGGCAGGCGGAAUUCCGGGUGUAGCGGUGGAAUGCGUAGAGAUCCGGAAGAACACCGGUGGCGAAGGCGGCCUGCUGGGCAGUAGCUGACACUGAGGCGCGACAGCGUGGGGAGCA